GCCAGGCAUGGUGGUGCAUGCCUGUAAUCCCAGCUACUCGGGAGGCUAAGACAGGAAAAUCACUUGAACCCAGGGGGGCAGAGGUUACAGUGAGCUGAGAUCGUGCCACUGCACUGCAGCCUGGACAACAGAGGGAGACUCUGUCUCUAAAUAAAUAAAUUAAUUUUUUUUUAGAAAAGGCUGCAGUGAGCCUUGGUCACAUCAGUGCACUCCAGCCUGGUUGACAAAGGAGACCCUGUCUCA
ensembl:misc_RNA Metazoa_SRP Metazoan signal recognition particle RNA